rnacentral:rRNA from 1 species
CGACCGGCGCACGGGUGCGUAACGCGUAUCAAACCUGCCUCAUACUCGGGGAUAGCCUUGCGAAAGUAAGAUUAAUACCCGAUGUUGUUAUGUUACCGCAUGGUGAUAUAACCAAAGAUUUAUCGGUAUGAGAUGGUGAUGCGUCCGAUUAGGUAGUAGGCGGGGUAACGGCCCACCUAGCCUUCGAUCGGUAGGGGUUCUGAGAGGAAGGUCCCCCACACUGGAACUGAGACACGGUCCAG